CCCAUGCGCGGCGGCCAUUUUUUUGUAGUCCCAAGCAUUUUUGCCUCUAGGGUCUAGGGACGGCCAUUUUGCCGUAGCUCUUUUUUACAUUCUAAACACUAUACCCGAAAGUGGUGCAGUGUAGCGGCGGUCGAGGACAGUAAUGGCGCCGGAGUGCAUACUGGCGUUCAGCGGGCACCCACGUGGCAUCCACGGACACAUCGUCAUUAUCAACACCUUCACCGCUAUCUGACACCUCAAGAAAGGAAGCAGCAUCGGCUACAACAUCAUCAUCACACCAUCAGUGCAUGCAGAGGACUAUGGCGGAUUCGGUGAACUACGGUGAUUAACCAGAUUGUUUCUCUUUUAAUAAAAUGGCUAACGAGGGCUGUGGGGGAGAGUUUUUUUUAUAAAAUUAAUUUUUUUAAAAUAAAUUUUCAGGCUUAGUAGUGGAAGCCGUCUUAUAGACAGAAUCCAUUUCUAAGUGGGGUUUAGCAUUAGCCCCAAAAACAGCUAGCGCUAACCCCCAAAUAUAACCCCAGUAUUCACCACCACAGAGGUACCAGAAAGAGCCGGUACCAACAGGCCCAGAGCAUCAAAAAUGAUGCUCCUGGGCCUAGAUGGUAAGAGGUUGGCAUUAUAUGGACUGGGGAGGGUCAGUAA